GUCCCCAUCGUCUAGCGGUUAGGACAUCGCCCUUUCAAGGCGGCGACACGGGUUCGAGUCCCGUUGGGGGCACCA
rnacentral:tRNA from 2 species